rnacentral:sRNA from 1 species
UGGUCCCUACUGUCCCCCAUGAGGUUGUGAACCCCUCCCCCCAACUUUUCAUGUUUCUUAAAGGCAUUUUGGUUUUUUAAAAUCUGUACAGCAAGAGCAACUUUUUCUGUCAAAUAAAAAUGAGAAAUGCAGGAACUGGGUCUGUAGACUGUUUAUUAAGGUGUGUUAAGGGGGCAGCCACUUCCCUCCGUGAUUACAGCCCCCAGCGUGGGUGGACCUGUGUGGGUCCGUCUUGGGGUUCCCUCAUUGAACAUGCUGUCAAACCAGGACACUGGCUCCAGCUUUUGUUUCUGCUCUUGCCCAUCGUCUGGGAGUGGACAUGCAGCCCUUCCCACUGACCAUGCUGGGGCCCCUUUCCUCAUCUUCCAUGUCCACUAGUGAGUCUGAGGGCUGACCAUCUGCAGCCAGCAUCACCCUUCACCCAGAUAUAUCUCCUUGUUCCCUUCACACACUUUGGGAGGCCGAGACGGGCAGAUCACGAGGUCAGGAGAUCAAGACCAUCCUGGCUGGCACGGUGAAACCCCAUCUCUACUAAAAAUAC